rnacentral:rRNA from 1 species
GUCGAACGGCAGCACGGACUUCGGUCUGGUGGCGAGUGGCGAACGGGUGAGUAAUACAUCGGAACGUGCCCAGUCGUGGGGGAUAACGUAGCGAAAGCUACGCUAAUACCGCAUACGAUCUAAGGAUGAAAGCGGGGGAUCGCAAGACCUCGCGCGAUUGGAGCGGCCGAUGGCAGAUUAGGUAGUUGGUAGGGUAAAGGCCUACCAAGCCGACGAUCUGUAGCUGGUCUGAGAGGAUGAUCAGCCACACUGGGACUGAGACACGGCCCAGACUCCUACGGGAGGCAGCAGUGGGGAAUUUUGGACAAUGGGCGCAAGCCUGAUCCAGCCAUUCCGCGUGCAGGAUGAAGGCCCUCGGGUUGUAAACUGCUUUUGUACGGAACGAAAAGGCUCUGGUUAAUACCUGAGGCUCAUGACGGUACCGUAAGAAUAAGCACCGGCUAACUACGUGCCAGCAGCCGCGGUAAUACGUAGGGUGCAAGCGUUAAUCGGAAUUACUGGGCGUAAAGCGUGCGCAGGCGGUGAUGUAAGACAGAGGUGAAAUCCCCGGGCUCAACCUGGGAACUGCCUUUGUGACUGCAUCGCUGGAGUACGGCAGAGGGGGAUGGAAUUCCGCGUGUAGCAGUGAAAUGCGUAGAUAUGCGGAGGAACACC